UACGAAGGGGACUAGCGUUGUUCGGAAUCACUGGGCGUAAAGAGCUCGUAGGCGGUUUCGUAAGUCGGAUGUGAAAACUCCAGGCUCAACUUGGAGACGCCAUUCGAUACUGCGAUGACUUGAGUCCGGUAGGGGAGUGUGGAAUUCCUGGUGUAGCGGUGAAAUGCGCAGAUAUCAGGAGGAACACCGGUGGCGAAGGCGGCUCUCUGGACCACAACUGACGCUGAGGCGCGAAAGCUAGGGGAGCAAACAGG
rnacentral:rRNA from 1 species